GACGAACGCUGGCGGCGUGCUUAACACAUGCAAGUCGAACGAAGUGGCGAACAGGUGUGUAAUACGUCGGUAACACGCCCUCAUGUUUGGGAUAAGCCAUGGAAACGGGGUCUAAUACCGGAUAUAGGGGGAGGGGCUCGUGGCCUAGCUGCUUGUUGGUGGGGUGAUGGCCUACCAAUGCGUUGACGGGUUGCUGGGCUGAGAGGGUGACCGGCAACAUUGGGACUGUGAUACGGCCCAUGCGCCUACGGGAGGCGGCAGUUGGGGAUAUUGGACAAUGGGCGAAGGACUGAUGCAGCGACGCCGCGUGGGGGAUGAGGGCUUUAGGGUUGUUAACCUGUGUCGGUAUCGAAUGGGUAGGUGGAGAAGAAGCGCCGGCUAACUACGUGCCAGCAGCCGCGGUAAUAC
rnacentral:rRNA from 1 species